rnacentral:rRNA from 1 species
GGCAGACGGGUGAGUAACAUGUAGGUAUCUGCCCUUUGGCCUGGAAUAACACGAGGAAACUUGUGCUAAUACUGGAUAAGUCUUUACGGAGAAAGCUUUAUGCACCAUUGGAUGAGCCUGCACUUGAUUAGUUUGUUGGUAGGGUAAUGGCCUACCAAGACUGUGAUCAAUAGCUGAUUUGAGAGGAUGAUCAGCCACAUUGGGACUGAGACACGGCCCAAACUCCUACGGGAGGCAGCAGUGGGGAAUCUUGCACAAUGGAGGAAACUCUGAUGCAGCGAUGCCGCGUGAGUGAAGAAGGCCUUUGGGUUGUAAAGCUCUUUCGUCGGGGAAGAAAAUGACUGUACCCGAAUAAGAAGGUCCGGCUAACUUCGUGCCAGCAGCCGCGGUAAUACGAAGGGACCUAGCGUAGUUCGGAAUUACUGGGCUUAAAGAGUUCGUAGGUGGUUGAAAAAGUUGGUGGUGAAAUCCCAGAGCUUAACUCUGGAACUGCCAUCAAAACUUUUCAGCUAGAGUAUGAUAGAGGAAAGCAGAAUUUCUAGUGUAGAGGUGAAAUUC